rnacentral:rRNA from 1 species
GGGGGGGGGGGGGGGGGGGGGGGGGAGGGGCGGGGGGAACGCUGAAGGGGGAGCUUGGUCUGCUGGAUGAGUGGCGAACGGGUGAGUAACGCGUAGGUAACCUGCCUGGUAGCGGGGGAUAGCUAUUGGAAACGAUAGCUAAUACCGCAUAACAGUAGAUGUUGCAUGACAUUUACUUAAAAGGUGCAAUUGCGUCACUACCAGAUGGGCCUGCGUUGUAUUAGCUAGUUGGUGGGGUAACGGCUCACCAAGGCGACGAUACAUAUCCGACCUGAGAGGGUGAUCGGCCACACUGGGACUGAGACACGGCCCAGACUCCUACGGGAGGCAGCAGUAGGGAAUCUUCGGCAAUGGACGGAAGUCUGACCGAGCAACGCCGCGUGAGUGAAGAAGGUUUUCGGAUCGUAAAGCUCUGUUGUAAGAGAAGAACGAGUGUGAGAGUGGAAAGUUCACACUGUGACGGUAUCUUACCAGAAAGGGACGGCUAACUACGUG